rnacentral:rRNA from 1 species
UCGAGAAUUUUUCACAAUGGGGGCAACCCUGAUGGAGCGACGCCGCGUGGAGGAUGAAGGCCUUCGGGUUGUAAACUCCUGUCAUGCGGGAACAAGAAAGUGAUAGUACCGCAAGAGGAAGAGACGGCUAACUCUGUGCCAGCAGCCGCGGUAAUACAGAGGUCUCAAGCGUUGUUCGGAUUCAUUGGGCGUAAAGGGUGCGUAGGUGGUGAUGCAAGUCUGGUGUGAAAUCUCGGAGCUUAACUCCGAAAUGGCACCGGAUACUGCGUUGCUCGAGGACUGUAGAGGAGAUCGGAAUUCACGGUGUAGCAGUGAAAUGCGUAGAUAUCGUGAGGAAGACCAGUUGCGAAGGCGGAUCUCUGGGCAGUUCCUGACACUGAGGCACGAAGGCCAGGGGAGCAAACG